rnacentral:misc_RNA from 1 species
AAAGUCGUAACAAGGUUUCCGUAGGUGAACCUGCGGAAGGAUCAUUAACAAAUUUUUUGGGAAUUAAUUAGGAGCAAUCCUUUUUGAGGACCAACAUAUACCCGGCCGCAGAGACAUGUCAUGUGUCUGUGCGGCUUGGAAAUAUAUUUACGCUUGUAUUGUUUUGACUGUAUAAAAACUGAGAAUUAUAAACAACUUUUAACAAUGGAUCUCUUGGCUCUU